rnacentral:rRNA from 1 species
AUGACAAGUGUGGUCACCACUAUGCGAUUUGCCUUGACCUCAAGAAUCAAUGAUUUGAGGUGCUUGAUUCAAUGUGUUCAGAAGAUGACGCAGACCUUACUACGCAUGCUGAAUACUUCAUCAACAACCUCAAAGAGACAUGGAACCGUCUCUACAAAAACUCAAAGGUCCAGAUCAGACAUUUUUCAAUCGAGUACAUGGCGACUACGAAGCAAGGAAACCGGCACGACUGUGGCUUUCACACGUUGA